AGCGAACGCCGGCGGCAGGCCUAACACAUGCAAGUCGAACGAACCCUUCGGGGUUAGUGGCGGACGGGUGAGUAACACGUGGGAACGUGCCUUGAGGUUCGGAAUAACUCAGGGAAACUUGUGCUAAUACCGAAUGGGCCCUUCGGGGGAAAGAUUUAUCGCCUUUAGAGCGGCCCGCGUCUGAUUAGCUAGUUGGUGAGGUAAUGGCUCGCCAAGGCUACGAUCAGUAGCUGGUCUGAGAGGAUGACCAGCCACAUUGGGACUGAGACACGGCCCAAACUCCUACGGGAGGCAGCAGUGGGGAAUCUUGCGCAAUGGGCGAAAGCCUGACGCAGCCAUGCCGCGCGGAUGAUGAAGGUCUUAGGAUUGUAAAAUCCUUUCACCGGUGAAGAUAAUGACUGUAGCCGGAGAAGAAGCCCCGGCUAACUUCGUGCCAGCAGCCGCCGUAACAC
rnacentral:rRNA from 1 species